rnacentral:misc_RNA from 1 species
CUCAAGCUUUGCGUUGAAGUCGGUGGUUGUCUCACCGGCGAACACGGUGUCGGUAUCGAGAAGCGCGAUCUGAUGCGUCACCAAUUCAGUGAGAUCGAUCUUGCCCAACAGAUACGCUUGCGUGCAGCGUUCGAUUCAAAAUGGCUGCUCAACACGGACAAGGUGUUUCCUGUUGACUGCCGAAAUCAAACAUAACGUUGGACGGAUUUGGCUAUGUCUGGAGAUCUGA